ensembl:snRNA U1 U1 spliceosomal RNA
AUGCUUAUCUGAUAGGGGAAAGACUACGAUCACAAACAUAGUUCCUAGGGUGAGGUCCAUCCAUUACACUCUGGGUGUGUUGACCCCUUUAAUCUCCCCAAAUACAGUAAACUCAACUCCACAAUUUGAGGUAGUGAGAGGCAGCCAGCAUUCAUGCUCUCUCUGU